rnacentral:lncRNA from 1 species
AUAUAUAUGUGUGUGUAUGUGUGUAUAUAUAUAUAUGUGUGUGUGUAUAGAGAUACACAUAUAUACACAUACACACUCACCCUCAGCCCCCUACAUACAUGCAUAUACACAUUGCACACAUACAUAAGUAUACACAUACAAACAUAUACAAGGUUCCAUGAAUACAUUACAUAUAUACAUACAUAUAUAUAUACACAUAUACAUACGAAGGAAAAAAGAAUUUGACUUUUUUUUAAAAAAAGCUUUUCGUUAAAGAAAACAUGUUUCUCAGUUUAUUUUUUCUCAUAAAACUGGUUUUUUGUCUUUAAAUGAAUAAAUAAAUGCAACUUACCUGGAGAGGCUGUGAAUGUGUGUGUGAGUGUGUGUGUGUGUGUGUGUGUGUGUGUGAACCUCUAUGUGUGUAUGUAAGCAUGUGUAUGUGAGUGUGUGUGUGUGCAAGUGGUAGUAUGUGUGAGUGUAAACCUCUGUAUGUGUGUAUGUAAGCAUGUGUGUGUGUGUAUGUGUACAAGUGGUAGUAUGUGUGAGUGUAAACCUCUGUAUAUGUGUAUGUAAGCAUGUGCGUGUGUGUAUGUGUACAAGUGGUAGUAUGUGUGAGUGUAAACCUCUGUAUGUGUGUAUGUAAGCAUGUGUGUGUAUGAAUAUGUGUACAAGUGGUAGUAUGUGUGAGUGUAAACCUCUGUAUAUGUGUAUGUAAGCAUGUGCGUGUGUGUAUGUGUACAAGUGGUAGUAUGUGUGAGUGUAAACCUCUGUAUGUGUAUAAGUAAGCAUGUGUGUGUGAGUGUGUGUGCAAGUGGUAGUAUGUGUGAGUGUAAAUCUCUGUAUGUGAGUAUGUAAGCAUGUGUGUGUAUGAGAAAGGUGUAUAAGUGGUAGUGUGUGUGAGUGUAAACCUCUGUAUGUGUGUAUGUGUGUGAGUGUAAACUUCUAUAUGUGUGUAUAUAAACAUGUGUGGGUAUGUGUGUGUGUGUGUGUGUAGUUCUCCGUCCUCUCUCUGUUAUAGUUUUUGAAAGAAAAAACUCAAAAUAUUUCCAGAAAUAUGAAAAUAUUACACUUUAUACAACCUGGAGUAAUUGAUUGAUAUUGAUAAGUAAAUGACACUGAUUAAAGGUGUUACCUACAGAUCUAUUUAAUUAAAGGUGUUAUAUUAUACAGUACUGUAUAUCUAUAUAUCUAAACCUACUAAUCUAUUUAAAUAUAUUACCUGCACUAUUAUGCAAUUAAUAGUACUACCAUUUAAUUAAAGAUAUUACAUAUCUUGUUGUGUGUUGGGGGGUGAGGUGGGGUCAUUGCACCAAUAAUAAUAAACACACACAUUGUUUCAAUAUCACUUGUUUAUUGCUGACCAACUGCUUAAAUAUCUAACCAAAUAAUUAAUUGUUUGUUUAAUAUGUCGGUUAAACGGCGGUGAGCUGGCAGAAUCGUUAGCGCACCGGGCGAAAUGCUUAGCGGUAUUUCGUUUGCCGCUACAUUCUAAGUCCAAAUUCCACCGAGGUUGACUUUACCUUUCAUUCUUUCGGGGGGUCGAUUAAAUAAGUACCAGUUAUGCACUGGGGCCGAUGUAAUCGACUUAACCCCUUUGUCUGUCCUUGUUUGUCCCCUCUGCGUUUAGCCCCUUGUGGGCAGUAAAGAAA